UACGGAGGGUGCGAGCGUUGUCCGGAAUCAUUGGGCGUAAAGGGCGCGUAGGUGGCGGGACAAGCGUGCGGCGAAAGCCUGGGGCUCAACCCCGGGUCGGCCGUGCGAACUGUUUUGCUUGAGCACUGUAGAGGCAGGCGGAAUUCCGGGUGUAGCGGUGGAAUGCGUAGAGAUCCGGAAGAACACCCGGUGGCGAAGGCGGCCUGCUGGGCAGUAGCUGACACUGAGGCGCGACAGCGUGGGGAGCAAACAGG
rnacentral:rRNA from 1 species